UACGUAGGGUGCAAGCGUUAAUCGGAAUUACUGGGCGUAAAGGGCGCGUAGGCGGGUCGUUUAGUUAGAGGUGAAAGCCCAGGGCUCAACCCUGGAAUUGCCUUUAAUACUGGCGGCCUUGAGUAUGGCAGAGGUGUGUGGAACUCCGAGUGUAGAGGUGAAAUUCGUAGAUAUUCGGAAGAACACCAGUGGCGAAGGCGGCUCACUGGCCCGGAACUGACGCUGAUGUACGAAAGCGUGGGGAGCAAACAGG
rnacentral:rRNA from 1 species